GCGAGAGUGGCGGAAUUGGCAGACGCACUGGACUUAGGAUCCAGCCCGCACGCGCGGUUAAGGGUUCAAGUCCCUUCUCUCGCA
rnacentral:tRNA from 1 species